CCUACGGGCGGCAGCAGUGAGGAAUAUUGGUCAAUGGCCGGAAGGCUGAACCAGCCAUGCCGCGUGAAGGGCAGGGGCCUAUGGGCGUUAAACUUCUUUUGGGCGGGAGCAAGAAUGGGCAGGUGGGGCCAGACGAGAGGACCGUAGGAAUAAGCAGCGGCUCACUCCGGGCCAGCAGCCGCGGUAAUACGGGGGAGGCAAGCGUUAGCCGGAGUUCUUGGGUGUCACGGGUGCGGAGGCUGUGAGGUAAGUCAGCGGGGAAAUGCCCCCGCUCCACGGGGUGAAGUGCCAUUGAUACUGCCUUGCUGGACUGCGGCUGCCGUGGGAUGAAUGUGUGUUGUAGCGGUGACAUGCAUAGAUAUCACACAGAACCCCGAUUGCGAAGGCAGCUCACUGGACUGCAACUGACACUGAGGCUCGAAAGUGUGGGUAUCAAACAGGAUUAGAUACCCUUGUAGUC
rnacentral:rRNA from 1 species